AGAGCAAUCCAGCACAUAACUAACAGGAAAUCUAUUUGCCAGCCCUUCACGGCAAAAACAAAAGCAUGAGCGUGCUUCAGAAUUUUUAAGAUUCUUUUUAAUACAGCUACAGCUAUUUGUUUUGUUUUAGAACCUGAGCAAGUCAAACAAAAAGUAGUCGAGCCAGCUGAGAAGGAGGCUGUUGUGGGCAAGGAAGUAAAAGAAGAACCUCAUGUCUCCAAAG